ensembl:lncRNA
AUCUUCUGUCAAGCUUCAAGGGUCUGGAAAUUUGACAGAAGAUGAAUGUGACCAAGUAAAUAACUUGGCAAUCAACUGGGAUCUCCCACCAGUAAAUGAUAACAACAGAAAAUGGUUGGCACAAAGCAUCCUUUACCAUGCAGUAAGUGCCAUUGAUUCAGUAAUGUAUUUUUUACUAUUGACAUACUAAAAUAAAAUAAAAACAUUAUUUCUAUGAUAUCAGAAAUAUAUACUGUGAUAUUUAGUAUAACAGCACUGUGAUGCUUUGCUUUCUGUAUUACACUUCUUGUCUGUGUUCCUGAUUUCCCAAAUAGGGAUUCAUUUUUUUUACUUUUGUUCAGUGACCAAUUUUACAGAUUACAUAUUUUACAUCAUUAAAUAAUCCCAAUUUAAUUAAUUCAGGUCAUUGGUCGGAGGGAAAAGCAAAUUCGACAGAUCAGACUGGGGUUAAAAGACACAGGAGUCUUGUGCAUGAUCAAAGAACGGCCUGCCCUGAUUGAUGUCCUUUUUCCAAGGGCGUCAGCUCAAAUUAUUGAGCCAGAGAUGAUCCUCGACAGAAUUAUAUGGCCAACAGUUGACAGUGAUGAUGAAGACUAUGGUGGCUUUAGUCUGGAGGACACAUUCAAGAUAACUGGUUUCUUUCGUCAGUACAUUGAAAAUGGCACACCAGAAGAGCUGAUGCAACUCAUUCAAUUCUGGGUGGGUUGGGGAAUUCUUCCUCAGAAUCUGCAUGUAGAGGUGUCCUCUGAUGUUGCAAUGCCAACUGCAUCUACUUGUAGAGAAACC